GCUCCUGUAGCUCAGACAGUCAGAGUGCUGCCCUGUCACGGCAGAGGUCGCGGGUGCGAGUCCCGUCAGGAGCG
rnacentral:tRNA from 1 species